UGCAAGUCGAGCGGCAGCGCGGGGCAACCUGGCGGCGAGCGGCGAACGGGUGAGUAAUGUAUCGGAACGUACCCAGUCGUGGGGGAUAACUAUCCGAAAGGAUAGCUAAUACCGCAUACGUCCUGAGGGAGAAAGCGGGGGACCGUAAGGCCUCGCGCGAUUGGAGCGGCCGAUAUCGGAUUAGCUAGUUGGUGAGGUAAAGGCUCACCAAGGCGACGAUCCGUAGCUGGUCUGAGAGGACGACCAGCCACACUGGAACUGAGACACGGUCCAGACUCCUACGGGAGGCAGCAGUGGGGAAUUUUGGACAAUGGGGGCAACCCUGAUCCAGCCAUUCCGCGUGAGUGAAGAAGGCCUUCGGGUUGUAAAGCUCUUUCAGCAGGAACGAAACGGUGGUCCCGAAUACGGGCUACUAAUGACGGUACCUGAAGAAGAAGCACCGGCUAACUACGUGCCAGCAGCCGCGGUAAUACGUAGGGUGCGAGCGUUAAUCGGAAUUACUGGGCGUAAAGCGUGCGCAGGCGGUUCUAUAAGACAGAUGUGAAAUCCCCGGGCUUAACCUGGGAACUGCGUUUGUGACUGUGGGACUCGAGUGUGGCAGAGGGGGGUGGAAUUCCACGUGUAGCAGUGAAAUGCGUAGAGAUGUGGAGGAACACCGAUGGCGA
rnacentral:rRNA from 1 species